rfam:Schistosoma haematobium scaffold879_3, whole genome shotgun sequence.
AUCCAGCUGACGAGUGCCAAAAUAGGAUGAAAUACGCGUCCUGGAU